UACAGAGGUCUCAAGCGUUGUUCGGAUUCAUUGGGCGUAAAGGGUGCGUAGGCGGCGCGGUAAGUCGGGUGUGAAAUCUCGGAGCUUAACUCCGAAACUGCAUUCGAUACUGCCGUGCUUGAGGACUGGAGAGGAGACUGGAAUUUACGGUGUAGCGGUGAAAUGCGUAGAUAUCGGGAGGAACACCGGUGGCGAAGGCGGCCCCCUGGUUGGAUACUGACGCUGAGACGCGAAAGCGUGGGGAGCGAACAGG
rnacentral:rRNA from 1 species